AGAAUAGUAAGCUAAUAUUUUAAGCUAAUGGGUUCAUACCCCAUAAAUAGAGGUUAUCUCUCUAUUCUA
rnacentral:tRNA from 1 species